ACACAACCACCUUAACUCAUGGACUAUAUUCCUUAGUAGUUCAAACUUCCCAAGUAACAACUGAAACCAAAUACACAAUCACAGGAUACUGCAACAAUGCCAAUACAGCAGAUCCAUUUAGCAUGAAAGGAAAACAAGUGGUUCAUUACAUAGCUUUGAAUGUUUACAAAGUCUUGAAAUGAAAACAUAACCUCAUUACAUAGCUUUGAAUGCUUAAAAAUUCAUGAAAACAAUAUCGCAUACAAUUGCAAUUUCUUAUUUGCCUUUAGGCUGAUAGAUUCUAAUUCCAAGAUUAAGGCGUCCCUUUUCAAAUUCUUUAACUUCUCUUUUAACUUUUUUGUUUUGUUUCUCAGGAAAUUGACUUCAUCCUCAUUCCUUAAAACAUAACCCAUUUCACUGCAACCAUUAUCAUGAACUUCAUUUUGAGUACUUAUGUCCAACCAUUGAAAAAAUCCACAAUAUUUAUUAACGUCCUGUAAAAGAAAACAACACCCAAAUCAAAUUGAAUCCAAAAUAUAUUACAAUAAUGUACCAAUUUAUACAUAAAAUUUACUUACUGGGUAAAAAUGACAUCCAUAGAACCUUCUUUCCUUUGAUUUGUUCUUUGUGGAGACACAAAUGGAUGCUGAUAGACCCGCAAAAACAUUUUACCCUCUUUCGAGCAACCGACGAGGAUAUGUUAUCUGAAGAAGCCAUUAAGAACAUUUUAGGUGUUCAAAUGGUUUGAGAAGAUGAAAACCCCUGAUUUUCCCUUUGAUUUUGGCCAAAUCAAUCUCCUUAUCAAAUCAAAUAUAAGUUUUGAUGAUAUCUGAAUUUGUGAUUCCUUAUUCGAGAUGGAUCAUGGUGAUAAAUGCUUGAAUCACUAGCUGGUAUACAUUAUCACCUGUUCUACUAAAGUCUUCGUGUUGUGACAUACUCGAAGAUUGUGUCAAGCAUUAGUUUGGAACAUAACAGUGAAUAUGAUAGUAAAUUGCCCACUCAAAAGAUAACAGAAUGAGAAGGGAACAAGUGAUACAAGCUUAUGUAGAACUGCAGUUAUUAACGGUUUAGAGAUCUUCUCUUCCAAAGUAUUGAAAUAAACAAAGGUUCCCAUCCCUGUUUUUGAAAACUUCCCAAAUCGUCUUUUUAAAAAUCGGCACAAAGAAUAAUCAGUUGCAAAAAAAACCUAGAUUUUAGUCCCAAUCUUGCUAAACUGAAGAGGGAAGAGUUUUUAAAACCAAAAUCAUACAUACCUUGUACCAAUGAAGAUCUAAGCCAGAAAUUUGCAGAUCGACGAAUCAGUGAGCCGUGAGCGAGGUUGGGAAGAAUUUCAAACACAAAAUCAUGGCUUUGUCGCUAUCUGAAGAGAUUUGCAGAAGAAGAUCGAUUCUUGUUUGUCGCUCUCUCUUUCUCUCUCUGAACUUCGACUUCUGAUAUCUUGGCGUUGUUUGAUG
rnacentral:lncRNA from 1 species